AACGAACGCUGGCGGCGUGGAUAAGACAUGCAAGUCGAACGGGACAACAUCUGUAGCAAUACAGGUGUUGUUUAGUGGCGAACGGGUGCGUAACACGUGGGCAAUCUGCCGAGAAGUGGGGGAUAGCUCGCCGAAAGGCGAAUUAAUACCGCAUACGAUCAGCUAAGACAUCUUAGCGACAUCAAAGCCGGGGUAACCUGGCGCUACUCGAUGAGCCCGCGGCCUAUCAGCUAGUUGGUGAGGUAACGGCUCACCAAGGCUAUGACGGGUAGCUGGUCUGAGAGGACGACCAGCCACACUGGAACUGAGACACGGUCCAGACACCUACGGGUGCAGCAGUCGAGUAAUUUUUCUCAAGUGGGGAAACCCUGAAGGAGCGACGCCGCGUGGAGGAUGAAGG
rnacentral:rRNA from 1 species